AGCGAGCGAGGACAAAAACGGCUGAACCUUUGCUAUCCUCUCACCUUCGCUCUCUCCCUCCCCAAAUCCCUAAUUUCUCCCCACUCCCAAUCUUCCUGGCGGCGGCAGCGAGCGAGCAGGCGGCUGCAUUUACCGGGACUAGCGGCGGCGAGCGAGCAGCAGAGCUGCGACGACAAGGUCAAGAACCCCGGCGGCCGCCUCCCCCACCACCGGGAAAAGGAGAGGAAGGGGAAAGGGACCCCCUUUUCCUCGCCCCGGCGGUCAUCCGGGAGAAGGAUGACCUGUGUGCCUCCAGAUGUGCUGCUGCCGCGACAUGGAAGCCGGCGUGCUGAUGCUGCUCUCCUCCGAUGUCGGGGACGACCGGCUGCUGCUACACGCCGGUGAAUAGUGGCGAUUGGCGAUCGAGUACUCCUUGAUGUCAGAUCCGUUCCCCACUAGAUUCAUUCCUGCUACAAUUGCUGCCUUGAUUUUAACCUUCAGAAGACAAAAUUUGCAAAAUGGGUGUUCCAACUUGCAAGUCCUUAUAUCAGAUCCAAGGGAGCUGAGGCAUGUUCAUUUAUCUCCUUUGCAGUCCAGUACUACGAUUAAUUUUGUAUUUCCCGAAUGGAUCUGCAACGAGUUUAUCACUCUUUUAUUCAUUUCUUCUAAUGGAUCAUCAUGCCUUUUGCCUUUACUGUCACCCCUAAACUUUAAUGGUCUCUAGCAGUAUACCUAAUAACUUACUAUUUCCACAGAGAAUCCAACAUAACUAAGGAGUGAUUUGACAAAGUUCUGAAAGCUGGUUCUAAUGUUGUAUUUACCACCAGGGGAAUUGAUGAUAUGUCUUUGAAGAGAAUAUGAUGCAGAGCAUUUGUUCCUACGCUCUUCCUUGUCUGAGCUAUGAAGUAGUAGCCGCAUGUCGCUCUUCUCGAUGAUGGUGAUAAUGCAAGGUAGCGGUGGCCUGUUAAUAUCAAGACCCAUGAAGCAGUGAUGCGAAAAUGUUCAAGCAACUCACUCAAGAGCAUGGUGUUUGCUCUGGCAGGUACAUAUUUCUUAUUUGCUUGUACCUUUGGCCUGUUAUUAUCUUCUUCUUUUUUACUUCUGGCCUAACGAGUUUCAGGUCGUGUUGCUCUGUUCCGUGGUGCGUGUCUCUUCGGUUACAGUAUUACCGUUUUAGGGUGCCCUUUUCUUACGAAUGUUCUAUAUGCUAACUGCCUUUGAUCAUCGCUAUAAGUUGUCUCAUGUGGAGGUUGUGGACAGAUCGCAUUUUGUUGGUGCCUGGCCGUACGCCUCUGGUGUAAGAUCGGCGAUAGCACUGAAACAUGCUCCAGCCACAAUUUAUAUAUGAUCAAAAGCCAUAAUUAGCUUCAGGCUAUCAGCAUAACUAGGCCAUAUACAUUUAGAGGACACUGUUUCUACUUUUGGGCAUACAGUUUUUGUCAUCUUUGCAUACCAUGUUUCCUCUUUAUGCGCUGGAUUAGGAAAAAAAUUCUUUGGGUUGCAAAUAGCACAGUAAUGUGUUCUUUGUUUAUCUGUCAGUGAGAAAAUCCAAGAUCUUGUCUUGGCUAAAAGAGAGUUAUGUGGAUGGUGUUCCUCCCACUGAGCAGCAUACAAUGGUAUCGUCUGGUGUUUUUGCAGAAGAGAGUUGAGUGAGAAAUGGAAUAUGGUAGGAAAAGGUAAUAAUGCUUGGUAUGUAAGUCCGUUUUUAUAAAUUGCAAGUACUAUAUGACCUUGAUCACACCUUUGUUCAACAGUUGUUUUUGCUCAUAUUUCCUUUUAAACUUCUUAGGUAUAUAUUUGGUGAUCAUAAGCCUAUACUGGUUAAUUGUUAGCAAUUGCUUAAAAAACCUGUUAAAGUUAGUAAUUGCUUCUGGACCAUAGGUAUGAACACAUGUCAUUUUCAUUAAGUCAAGUGUCCCACCUGAAGCCUCUUGGUAACAAAAAUACGUUUACUUAUGAAAUAUCUUUCAAAAUACGGAAUAUGUAUUGCGGGAAAUCUGUGAUAAAAUGGGUCAUGAUGGGAUGUAUGCAAACUUUUGUUUCAGAAAACAGGGCACCAGGUCCAGGCUAGACAGGUGGUUAACCCUCUUUGUGAUAUCAUACUUUUUCUUGCAAUUCAAGGACUUACAGCUUAGGCCUUGAAUCAGUUUGUGGUUUACCUUGCAUCUUUUUGUGCCUUGUGCUCACAACAAAUUGAUGCAUCUUCUUUUGCAUAGGAAAAGUGGUAAAUACGUUUGUACGUAUAUAAUGCCCGGUUUAUAGGUUGAUAAUUAUAGUGAAUAAGAUGUAGGUGCAUAUUCUGUUGCAAUUCAAAUUGGAAGCAGAUGAUUUAUUGAUUGGAAUUUUCUAUCUGUGUUCUGGUGUGCUUGUUUUAUCUAUGCAUUUGAAACUAGCAAACUAUGUCUUUUCGAGAUAGUAAAAUUGAGGAAAACGGAUUCAGUUCUUCAAUAGAAAUAUAAUCGUUAAGACAACUAUGUACUCUUGCAUUCUAAUUAGCAUUAAAGGCCUUGAGAAAGGCUGGCCCUGCAACCCUAUUAGCCCACUCUGCAGAAUCGAACCUGAAACUGAUGUUUGCCUCCUCGCCAACUGCCCCUUUGGGCUUUUGGGCUUAAUUGGUGGCAGCUGUCUUCUAAUAAGCUUUUUGUUCAGCACUGCAAGGCCUGGAACUCCAUCAUGCAGCUGCUGUGGUGGACAUGGAAGGAAAGAAAUGAUAGCAUCUUCCGGCGUCGCACUUUGCUGCUGCCGAAAUCUCUAGACAGAUUCCGUGGGGACCUGUCGAUGUGGUCGGACGCUCCAAAAUACUGAACCUACGAAGACCACGUGAAUGACUAAAUAUUUGUCACUCUGUUGGUUGCUGAACGGCCAGCUGGGUGCUGCUGUGUCUCUGGUGCUUUCUAUUCUUUUUCCUAGCUUGGUUCGGUCACCCUUCAAACCUUGUAACUCUGCUCUAAUCUAUAAUCAAUGAAAAGCUGCGCUGACAACCUUUUCGUCUAGAAAUGUUUCAGCUUCUCAGCCUUUUAUUUUUGUUUUUCCAAGGUUGUAAAAUUGAGGAGAAAAGAAUGCAGUUGUUCAACAGAAUGUAAAUUGUUGCGGCGGC